GACGAACGCUGGCGGCGUGCUUAACACAUGCAAGUCGAACGGAAAGGCCCUGCUUUUGUGGGGUGCUCGAGUGGCGAACGGGUGAGUAACACGUGAGUAACCUGCCCUUGACUUUGGGAUAACUUCAGGAAACUGGGGCUAAUACCGGAUAGGAGCUCCUGCUGCAUGGUGGGGGUUGGAAAGUUUCGGCGGUUGGGGAUGGACUCGCGGCUUAUCAGCUUGUUGGUGGGGUAGUGGCUUACCAAGGCUUUGACGGGUAGCCGGCCUGAGAGGGUGACCGGCCACAUUGGGACUGAGAUACGGCCCAGACUCCUACGGGAGGCAGCAGUGGGGAAUAUUACACAAUGGGCGGAAGCCUGAUGCAGCAACGCCGCGUGCGGGAUGACGGCCUUCGGGUUGUAAACCGCUUUAGCCUGUGACGAAGCGUGAGUGACGGUAAUGGGUAAAGAAGCACCGGCUAACUACGUG
rnacentral:rRNA from 1 species